rnacentral:rRNA from 1 species
GAAACGCCCGGUCCCAUUCCGAACCCGGAAGCUAAGGCCACCUGCGCCGAUGGUACUGCACUCGACAGGGUGUGGGAGAGUAGGACACCGCCGGAC